rnacentral:rRNA from 1 species
UACGUAGGGACCGAGCGUUGUCCGGAAUCAUUGGGCGUAAAGAGCGUGUAGGCGGCCCCUUAAGUCCUGCGUGAAAUCCUGCGGCUCAACCGCAGACGGUCGUGGGAAACUGGAGGGCUAGAGUGCGGGAGAGGAGAGUGGAAUUCCCGGUGUAGCGGUGAAAUACGCAGAUAUCGGGAAGAACACCCGUGGCGAAGGCGGCUCUCUGGAACGCAACUGACGCUGAGACGCGAAAGCGUGGGGAGCAAACAGG